rnacentral:rRNA from 1 species
CCUACGGGAGGCAGCAGUGGGGAAUUUUGGACAAUGGGCGCAAGCCUGAUCCAGCAAUGCCGCGUGAGUGAAGAAGGCCUUCGGGUUGUAAAGCUCUUUUGUCAGGGAAGAAACGGUCUACUCUAAUACAGUGGGCUAAUGACGGUACCUGAAGAAUAAGCACCGGCUAACUACGUGCCAGCAGCCGCGGUAAUACGUAGGGUGCAAGCGUUAAUCGGAAUUACUGGGCGUAAAGCGUGCGCAGGCGGUUAUAUAAGUCAGAUGUGAAAUCCCCGGGCUCAACCUGGGAACUGCAUUUGAGACUGUAUGGCUAGAGUGUGUCAGAGGGGGGUAGAAUUCCACGUGUAGCAGUGAAAUGCGUAGAUAUGUGGAGGAAUACCGAUGGCGAAGGCAGCCCCCUGGGAUAACACUGACGCUCAUGCACGAAAGCGUGGGGAGCAAACAGGAUUAGAUACCCUGGUAGUCCACGCCCUAAACGAUGUCUACUAGUUGUCGGGACUUAAUUGUCUUGGUAACGCAGCUAACGCGUGAAGUAGACCGCCUGGGGAGUACGGCCGCAAGAUAAAACGUCAAAAGUGAGUAGAGNGNGAGACGACGACGACGACGACGACGGAGGGAGGAGG